rnacentral:rRNA from 1 species
AGAGUUUGAUCAUGGCUCAGGACGAACGCUGGCGGCGUGCUUAACACAUGCAAGUCGAACGGUGAUCCGGGUACUUGUACCUGGUGAUCAGUGGCGAACGGGUGAGUAACACGUGAGUAACCUGCCCUCCACUCUGGGAUAACUCCGGGAAACCGGGGCUAAUACCGGAUAUGACGCCAACCCGCAUGGGUAUGGUGUGGAAAGUUUUUCGGUGGAGGAUGGACUCGCGGCCUAUCAGCUUGUUGGUGAGGUAAUGGCUCACCAAGGCGACGACGGGUAGCCGGCCUGAGAGGGCGACCGGCCACACUGGGACUGAGACACGGCCCAGACUCCUACGGGAGGCAGCAGUGGGGAAUAUUGCACAAUGGGCGAAAGCCUGAUGCAGCGACGCCGCGUGAGGGAUUAAGGCCUUCGGGUUGUAAACCUCUUUCAGCAGGGAAGAAGCGAAAGUGACGGUACCUGCAGAAGAAGCACCGGCUAACUACGUGCCAGCAGCCGCGGUAAUACGUAGGGUGCGAGCGUUGUCCGGAAUUAUUGGGCGUAAAGAGCUUGUAGGCGGUUUGUCGCGUCUGCUGUGAAAUCUCAAGGCUCAACCUUGAGCUUGCAGUGGGUACGGGCAGACUAGAGUGUGGUAGGGGAGACUGGAAUUCCUGGUGUAGCGGUGAAAUGCGCAGAUAUCAGGAGGAACACCGAUGGCGAAGGCAGGUCUCUGGGCCACUACUGACGCCGAGAAGCGAAAGCAUGGGGAGCGAACAGGAUUAGAUACCCUAGUAGUCC